rnacentral:rRNA from 1 species
UACGAAGGGGGCUAGCGUUGCUCGGAAUCACUGGGCGUAAAGGGCGCGUAGGCGGCCAUUCAAGUCGGGGGUGAAAGCCUGUGGCUCAACCACAGAAUUGCCUUCGAUACUGUUUGGCUUGAGUAUGGCAGAGGUUGGUGGAACUGCGAGUGUAGAGGUGAAAUUCGUAGAUAUUCGCAAGAACACCAGUGGCGAAGGCGGCCAACUGGGCCAUGACUGACGCUGAGGCACGAAAGCGUGGGGAGCAAACAGG